AGUUGGACUGCUAAUAUGUAGACUUGGAUUUGAUUCCUGUCACUGUGUUGCUGGCUUAGAAACUUGUAUAUUGCAAACAAUUUGACACUAAAAAUUAAUAUGGAAUGUCCAUGAAAGCACACGUGCGCGGACAGAGAGAGAGAGAGAGAGAGAAAACACAGUGCACUUUAUAUUUAUUAUUUAUUUAUUAUAUACAGGGGCCACACAGUGUCAUCACAUCUACAGUUUAAGAUUUGGAAAAUUAAGAAUAAGCUGUCCCAAAUGUGCCGGCGAGAAGUAAACACUCAUCAAACUUUGUUGAGAAUUGAAAAGGAAAAUAAAAAUGAAAAGGUUUACACAAUUAAAAUAUAUGAAUAGAUAAAUAAUUGGCUUACUAAAUGUCACAAAAUAAAGGAGACAUUUCUCUGGCUGAUCACAUUUAAUGGAAGCAGCAGAUCAUCUAGUUUGGAUUUAGCACAGAUACACUUCCAGAAGUGAUCCACAUUGAUGUUCCAUCGCAACAGAAACCAAGCAGUUUGGUGAAAGCAUAAACUGACUGCUGCUGUCAGUCAGUGUCUUGUAAUUGCUUUUUUUUAAAUGUAUAACCACUCUAAUGCAUUUUGUUUUUAUAAAUAUUUCAAUCAUCUCUUAAUUUGAGUGAGAAAAGAUGAAGAUCAACAGGAGUCUGUGAUUAUCUUACAGCAAGAACAAGAGCAGCACGAUUUGAACACAGACAGAUACGAACCUCGUCCCACAUCUGGAACAAACUACGCUUCUGGACAAUCAGUCAUCCAACACACACACACACACACACA